AUCUUGUACCAUGCGAUCGUACAGAUAGACACAAGUGCUUGAACGGUGGAAUAUGUGUUAAUGUGGACGCUCUGGAUAUCAAGACGUGCCGGUUUUUUCCGUCUGUCGGUUGAUACGCCAAAUGCCACUGUCCCUGUCAGCAAGUUUAUCUACCCUUGCGUCAGCCAUCUUAUCAGUGGAUCUGGCAUUACGCGGAGACGGGCGCAUCAAAAUCCGCAACCGUCUGAACAUCCGAAAGACGCCAUGGCUAUCAGUGCCCGCUUGGAUAUACGGGAAG